GGGGGUACAUGUAAAGUACAAGGGAGUGCGAAAAAUAAAAGGUCUCAUUGUCAGGUAGCCCAAGAGAAAGCCAUGUGUGUGCAAUUGUGUUCUAAAUUGGAGAGCAUGCAAAAUUGUCCUAUUUCUAACACUAGGGGUAUAAUCGCCAUUUCACCAUUUAUGGAUUAAUAUUGAAUUAAAUUUCUAUUUACGAAAUUCUAAUUAAAGUCAUUUCUAAAAUCUAAGUAAUUCUAAUUAUUCUAAAUCCUAAAUUAAUCUAAAUUUAAUACUCCUAAUUAAACUUUAGAAUUCUAACAUUAUUUUUUUAAUCCUAAUUCUAAAUUUAAAAAAAUCUAAUAAUAAUUCUAAUAUCUUCUAAACUUAAUUCUAAAAUUCUAAAAAAAUUACUAAUGCUUUUAAUUGAAAAUCUAAGUUUAACUAUCUAAAUUUUUUAAUAAUCCUAAUUACUUUUAAUUAUGACUAGCUUGAUCUAAUUAAUACCUAAUACUCUAAUUAAGCUAAUUACACUCCUAAUUAAACUAAUUACAUACUAAUUGAUACUCUAAUUAAACUAAAAAACUGUUAGAACUCAACAAAAACUUGGAAGAAAACUUGAAUUGGGCUUUAUAUGGACUUGGGGGUGUAGGCCCGGAUUGGAGGUGUGUUGAAACCAAACCAUGGAUGGGCCUAACGUGAAACCUAAGGCCCAGGCACAUUUGGAUGAAGCACGGAUGAAUCUCAUCCUCCGCUUCACCUUCGUAUCGCACAGAAGCAGAACAAAAGGACGGAGAGACUGGAGCGCUCCGAUCCUGGCCGCGCUGGCUUCGCCUCGAUUCUACGACAGAAACCGCCAAAAUAUACACUCAUCUCCGGCCGCCAGUGAGUUUCCUUGGUGUCUACUGGACUCGACGUAACUCUCAACUCAACGACUCCGAUUUGUGUCGUCGUAGUCUCCAUUGAUGAUGACUUGGUCCGAGCAAAGAGGAAGACGAUUACGAUCAAUGCGCGCACUCAUCCAUAUCUCGCGACGGUUUAAUAACAUUCAACAGAUGAUUCGUUCGUUAAUCAGUUACCGGAUUCAAAGUUCGUAGCAUCAAAUUCGACUCGAUCCGUUAUCGUGUGAACGAUCCGGAACAAAAAUGAUAUAGCAGGCAAAUUGAAGACUUACCGAAUUGAAUAGGUGAAUUGGUAUAGUUUACAUUGCCGAUUCAAUUGGCUCGUGUGUUUGCAGCUUGAAGCUUGAAGUGUUGGCUGCACCUUGACUUUGUUGUAGCUUUGUAGUUGGUGCUUGUGCGUUUAGCUUAUUUUCUCA